ACUCCAAUAUAACAACACUCAGGAAUCACCUCCCACUACUGCUGGGGCAGGCGGUGGGAACAGAUGUAGAGAGGGUAAACUUUAUUACAAGGAAUGAGGAAAAUGGAACUGAUUUUGAUAAGGGCCAUUGUCAAUCAUUAGUUCACAUGACAGCCAUGAAGGCACACAAUGAGCCUCACGUAAGCAUCAGGUACUACAUUUAGGAAGAGAGAUGGUGUGAGGAUGCAGUGGCCAGAAGAGGCAGCCCAGGGAAGAUCUGAGGUGAACCCUCUGGUUGGAAAGCCUUGGCAAAUUGGAGGAAUGAAAAGAAAAAAGAGUAAAUCUACAACAAGGAUCAGCAAACUCCAGUCUACAGGCCAAAUCCAGCCUGCUGCCUGUUUAUGUCAAUAAAGUUUUA
rnacentral:lncRNA from 1 species